GACGAACGCUGGCGGCGUGCUUAACACAUGCAAGUCGAACGGAAAGGCCCUGCUUUUGUGGGGUUCUCGAGUGGCGAACGGGUGAGUAACACGUGAGUAACCUGCCCUUGACUUUGGGAUAACUUCAGGAAACUGGGGCUAAUACCGGAUAGGAGCUCCUGCUGCAUGGUGGGGGUUGGAAAGUUUCGGCGGUUGGGGAUGGACUCGCGGCUUAUCAGCUUGUUGGUGGGGUAGUGGCUUACCAAGCCUUUGACGGGUAGCCGGCCUGAGUGGGUGACCGGCCACAUUGGGACUGAGAGACGGACCAGACUCCUACGGGAGGCAGCAGUGGGGAAUAUUGCACAAUGGGCGGAAGCCUGAUGCAGCAACGCCGCGUGCGGGAUGACGGCCUUCGGGUUGUAAACAGCUUUCGCCGGUGACGAAGCGUGAGUGACGGUAAUGGGUAAAGAAGCACCGGCUAACUACGUG
rnacentral:rRNA from 1 species